ensembl:lncRNA
CCAUGGUGUUUUGCAUCUUCUGCAAAAUGUACAAGACAGUGGACGUUGUAGGACAGAAAUUUGGGGCCAUAUAGCUGUCCAAAGUGUGUGACAAAAAGUUGCAGAAUAUCAUUGGCAUAGUUGAUGUGAUCACCAAUUAGGCUGUUAUUGCACAAGAUUCCCACAAAAAACAGCAGGAAGUUUUUGUACACCUCCGUGCUGAGUAGGUCUUUCAGCAUAACAGGGCCUGUGCACAAUAAAAACUGUCUAAACCCGGAUUUUUUUGGCACCAACCAACCUUUCUGUCAGCACAGUGGCUUGAAAUCCUGACAGCCUGCAAGUUAGAGCACCCAGUCGAAGCCACAAGUGGAGAAGCCGCCUCAUGACACCAAGGCACACAAGGUGCAUGUAAUCAAGGGGGAAUCCAGAGACCAUAUCCAAGGAUGUUUCUUCUAGAGGUGAGAUGCCAUGGUGGUGAUCUGGAUCAGUCUUAUUUCUGAAGUUGACAUUAUUUCUAAGAGGCAUGUCAUUUCUAGGGAAUGUCAUCCUGUUCUCCAGGUGCACACCAUCCUGAAUGCACUUUUCGCAUCCAUGGUAGCCUGCGUGGCCCUUCACUUUUUUCAGAAAUGCACGUGCAGAUGAAGUCCUCAAGAUACUCAUCCAGUGAGCUUGGUUUACUAUCACCACAAAAUAAACCUAUUGUCACAGGUUCCUCCUGCACCAAAUGUUGCACAGUUACAAGAAUGGGCCAGAAUUGAGUUGCUGAACUCUUGUAGAGAGGCAGACCAUCGAUGCUCACCUGGAGCUUCAAAUUGCUCACGUUCUGCAAAAUGUCCAUGUUGUUGUAGAGUACACCCGAAAUGGAUUCCAGUAGACCAAAAUGAUAGUACUGUCCACCAGCCUUGUUUUGGACUUCAGUUCUAUUUGAACGCACUGUUCCUAAUAGUGUCCUGGCAUCUUUUGGCAGAUUCAGAUCGUGCUUGCGGAGGAUAUUAAGUAAUGAAUUUAGUGCCACAUGUGUUAUUUGAUGUUCUGUUGCCCAGGUUGCCAAGUCAUCAUUAAGGGAACUUGGAUGCAGUUCAGAAUCUGUGUCUGAGUCUGUGUCAGAUUCACUGCUAUGUGAAGCACUUGCCAUGGUGACACAUUCAGGCUCAUCAGUAUGGAACAAACCGUCCAUAAAGUCAUUGUUGUCAUCAGCGGUGCUGCUUGUGUCACUGUUCAUGCCACCAUACUGUUCCCUGCAUGAUGAUGGUGAUGCUUCCAUUGACUGGAGUUGUUUGUCCACCUUAGCCUUGGCUUUUCUUCGCAAUGUCCAGUAAGAUUGUUUUUUGCAAUCCAUGGUACUGUGAUAUUAACACAAACACAAAAUGCAGUGCACUAACCUGAUAAGCCAAAUGCAGUGGUUCUCAACUCAAGUAUUGGAAGACCCUUGCAUUGCACAUUUUGGAUGUCUUUUACAUGUGGUUCAACUCAUCAUAUAAUAGAAGACCCUUAAACCCAACAGAGCAUGUUAGAUGAGACAGACAUCCAGAAUGUGUAAUGUUAUAGAUCCCCAAGACUGGAAUUCAGAACCACUGGCGUAAUGUCUAAUAAUUCUGUCACAAUAAAUACACAUACCUUGGUUUUGAUAGAAUGUGA